rnacentral:rRNA from 1 species
GAUGAACGCUAGCGGCAGGCUUAACACAUGCAAGUCGAGGGGUAUAGGUUUUCGGACCUAGAGACCGGCGCACGGGUGCGUAACGCGUAUGCAAUCUACCUUUCACAGAGGGAUAGCCCAGAGAAAUUUGGAUUAAUACCUCAUAGUAUUACGAGAUGGCAUCAUUUUGUAAUUAAAGUCACAACGGUGAAAGAUGAGCAUGCGUCCCAUUAGCUAGUUGGUAAGGUAACGGCUUACCAAGGCUACGAUGGGUAGGGGUCCUGAGAGGGAGAUCCCCCACACUGGUACUGAGACACGGACCAGACUCCUACGGGAGGCAGCAGUGAGGAAUAUUGGACAAUGGGCGCAAGCCUGAUCCAGCCAUGCCGCGUGCAGGAUGACGGUCCUAUGGAUUGUAAACUGCUUUUGCACAGGAAGAAACAACGCUACGUGUAGCGUCUUGACGGUACUGUGAGAAUAAGGAUCGGCUAACUCCGUGCCAGCAGCCGCCGUAA